GUUUGAUAGUAUGAUUUUGUCAUCUGCAUUUGAUUUUGCUGAUUCACUUGUGUACAGUUUUGUCAUUUUUAGAUCAACUAGUUUAACAUGAAGAUGGAACUCAACAUACUUGAAAAUUAAUAAUAUGCCUGAAAUCACUUAAAGGGAAUGUGUCAGAUCAACUGGGUUCUUUGAGGAGGGAUUGAAUAAUGAUGGAUGUGAUUAAUGGCUUACGGGAAAUGAAAAUUUGCUUGUAACUUGAUUUCAAUUUAUUUUAUAAUGAAUCUUAAAUAAACCCAUAUGUAUGCAUUUAUUGGCUUCUGGUUUAGUGCUCGGUUCCUACUUAACUGGAGUUGGAUGCCAAUUUAACAAUGGACUGCUUUAAGCUUGCUUUUCGUUAGGUUUGUCCAGAUAUUCUGUUCUAAAAUCAUAAUGGGUUUUAACAUGUUUAUUUGCAGGGUAAUGGCUGGAAAGUUGUUGC
rnacentral:misc_RNA from 1 species